rnacentral:rRNA from 1 species
UACGUAGGGCGCAAGCGUUGUCCGGAAUUAUUGGGCGUAAAGAGCUCGUAGGCGGCCUGUUGCGUCUGCUGUGAAAUCCCGGGGCUUAACCCCGGGCGUGCAGUGGAUACGGGCAGGCUGGAGGCAGGCAGGGGAGAAUGGAAUUCCCGGUGUAGCGGUGAAAUGCGCAGAUAUCGGGAGGAACACCGGUGGCGAAGGCGGUUCUCUGGGCCUGUUCUGACGCUGAGGAGCGAAAGCGUGGGGAGCGAACAGG